rnacentral:rRNA from 1 species
AUUGAACGCUGGCGGCAUGCCUUACACAUGCAAGUCGAACGGUGACAGGUCUUCGGAUGCUGACGAGUGGCGAACGGGUGAGUAAUACAUCGGAACGUGCCUAGUAGUGGGGGAUAACUACUCGAAAGAGUGGCUAAUACCGCAUGAGAUCUACGGAUGAAAGCAGGGGAUCGCAAGACCUUGUGCUACUAGAGCGGCCGAUGGCAGAUUAGGUAGUUGGUGGGAUAAAAGCUUACCAAGCCGACGAUCUGUAGCUGGUCUGAGAGGACGAUCAGCCACACUGGGACUGAGACACGGCCCAGACUCCGACGGGAGGCAGCAGUGGGGAAUUUUGGACAAUGGGCGCAAGCCUGAUCCAGCAAUGCCGCGUGCAGGAUGAAGGCCUUCGGGUUGUAAACUGCUUUUGUACGGAACGAAAAGCCCUGGGUUAAUACCCUGGGGUCAUGACGGUACCGUAAGAAUAAGCACCGGCUAACUACGUGCCAGCCGCCGCCGUAA